AGUUAGGGACAGCGGUUGGUGAUUGGAGGAUACGCUGGACAAGGCAGUACUUAAGGCCAAGUUAUUUCACAGUCUGGGAGCUGUUUCUGGUGUGUGUGAAGCACUGUGUCGUGCCUGUCUUGGUGCGCUGCUGGUCUCUCUCUCUCUCUCUCUCUCUCUCUCUCUCUCUCUCUCUCUCUCUCUCUCUCUCUCUCUCUCUCUCUCUCUCUCUCUCUCUCUCUCUCUCUCUCUCUCUCUCUCUCUCUCUCUCUCUCUCUCUCUCUCUCUCUCUCUCUCUCGAAUUGUAUGAUUGUGAAGACAUCGCGAACCUUAAAGGUUGAGAAGUGAACGGAUUAUACGGUGAAUUGAGACGACGUGAAAAAGGGGAUUGGAAGCGGCAUUGAUGUGAAUACUUAGAGCAAGCCGAAAGUGCCCUGUAUAUUGACCUGGCGUUGUGUAGAUCUCCCCAGGAGGAGGAGGGCGGCCCUACCCCUAAUAUAGCGUGGUGGGAGAGCCGAAGGAAUACGUAUUGAAGUAGUCACAACGACGACAUCACUAGCUAGGCCGCAUAUUCCAUCGCCAGAUCCGAACCAAGCGAAGUGAAGGAAGACGGGUGUCCUUUUCGUACACUGAGUGUGGUGGGUGAGUCUUCGUGCUGUGAAAACCUAAAAUUUUGACGUGGUGCUGUAUAUUGCUGUGGGUUGCUGUGUAUUGCCGUGUGUCCUGUCAGAUAAACCCCCGCCUUCACGCACUCUGUCGCGGGAGGACAAGGAGACUGCUGGUUCUAGCCUAGUUCAAUACAGUAUAUGUUGUGAGCGUGCUUCAGAUCUCCGGAGAUAGCACGGUACGCUGUGUUCAGCCCAGAGGUGGGAGCUAUUCAAAGCAAACUAACUGUGCUUUGUGUCCAAUCUGAUACCUGUGGAGAGAAAAGGAAAGAGAGUGAAUAACACGAGGAGGAAUAGAGCGAACCCUGUACUUACGGUACGUUGUGUCCAGCCCAGAGGUGAAAGCCAUCCAAAGCAGAGUAACUGUGUUUUGUGUCCAAGUUGAUACCUGUAGAGAGGAGGAGAGAGAGUGGAUAACGUGAGGAGAAAUAGAGCGAAACCUGUACUUACAGUACGCUGUGUCCAGCCCAGAGGUGAGAGCCAUUCAAAGCAAACUAACUGUGCUAUUGUGACCAAGUUGAUACCUGUGGAGAGAAAAGGAGAGAGCGUGAAUAACACGAGGAGGAAUAGAGCGAACCCUGUACUUACGGUACGUUGUGUCCAGCCCAGAGGUGAGAGCCAUUCAAAGCAAACUAACUGUGCUAUAGUGCCCAAGUUGAUACCUGUGGAGAGAAAAGGAGAGAGAGUGGGUAACACGAGGAGAGACCGAGGAAACUGUACUUACGCCGCUGCCUGUGGAGAAAGCGAGUGAGCACCCAAGGAACGAACUGUGUGAACCAGUACUUACUGUGAGCUGCAAUCAGCGAAGAGGUGAGAGCAAAACCAAGUCGAAUUAACUGUGCCUUUGCGUCCCAGCCGUUGCCUGUGGAGGAAGAGAAAGAGAGUGAGCACCCCGAGAACGAACUGUGUGAACCAGUACUUACCGUGAGUUGUAUUCAGCGAAGAGGAGGAAGAAGGAGGGCGCUACGGAUACCUAAGACUCUGGCCGGGCCCCGAGUCCCACGCCCCGGAUCCCCGUGGCCCCCUUGCUCCCUGACCUCUUCCCGGCCAUAGCCCAUCUGGAGGGCCGAGUCGGAGUUUAGUUUUAAUUGCCCUUUCCCUAUUCCCCAAGCUAUUUUUAAAUAUUUAAAUAAAGAUUGUUUUAUCA